CAAAAGACAGAAAGAAAAGCUCACCACCAAAAUCUAGUGCAUAAUACCCUUAUCCAAACACUAUUCCCUACUAUCAUUGCAUCCAAACAAUUAACUAAACAUAAGGAGCAACUAAACACACUCAAACUGAUAAGACUAAAGGUUCCCCCAAAGCCCUUAAGCAUCACUAUAUAAGCAAUCUAUUCCAAUACCUGCCUUGCAAGCAAUCUACAAAAUGAAAGCUUUUACCACUACGUCCCUUGGUAAAUAUGUUAGCUAUUUUGCUUUUUAACUUUACAGAGGGAAUACCUAUGUACUCUCAUUUAGUUUUUCCUAGAUAAAAUGCUUUUCAGUUUCAAUGUUGAUAGAUUGGAUAGUGAGAGAGUUGAACUCUGAAUUUGGGAAUGAUAAUGCCGCUAAUCAAUAACCUAAUGAAAAAAAUAGUGUUCCCAAUUAAAUCUCUUAUCAAGGCUCUAUGAAAGCAUAGGUGUAAAGUGGAAGGGACUCCAAGAGGGAGCUACACCCUCCUAGCUUUCUUCUUUUGUAUAGGGAGGCAGCUUGGGGUAUGAUUUUAACUAUGGAUAAUCUUCAAAUGACAGAGGUUUCAGUUAAUUUUUUUGUUCAAAACAGUUGCCGAAUCUAAUCAAUCAUUUACUAGCGUGGAAAAGGAGUUCAUAACAUUAAUGAAGUUGUGGAUUUGUCUUGGUCAUAAUUAGUGCAGGACAAGGAGUUAAAAUUUUGGGAGAGGUUUACACUAUUAUUUGAGACUAUAAAGCACUGGGAAUCUUUAGUGUUUUCCAUAUGUAAUGAAAGAACAGAGCAUUCAAGGUAGAAGAAUCUUGCUCCUCCCAGUGGAUGCUCUUUUCUUUUCUUUUUGACUUUUUGCGUUAAGACUACAUCACUGGCCUACAGGGAGUCUCAUUUCUUAGAUUUCAUUUAAUAAUUUAUCAGUAGCACAGUAAUAGCUUGUAUUCCCAUCCUUUUCUAAUAACCAAAUGGUGGUAACUCUACCCUUCUGGUGUCUACAUUCACGGAUUUUUUAUUUUUUAUUUUUUACUUUUAAGAGAGCAAGAUGACUCGUAUACACAUCUGAAAAGGACUAAUUCUCUAUAAUUAGACAUCUAGCUGAAAAGGCACAAUAAACAAUGUCCAUCAAAGAGCAAUUAGUACACCACCAGGUGUUCAGUACAGUUUCCUGCCAUCACAUAUUUUUCAGAAUUAAAAUUUUGCAAUCCACUCAUACUUUUAGGCUAAACACAGAAAAAAACUCUCUAAGAAAAACUUGCAAGUAGUUGAUGAGCACAAAGGAAAUCAUGGGAUGACAAACAAAGUCAAUGGGAAGAUAUUGAAUUUUCCUAAUAAAUCCACUUUGUGUAUGGCUUUUGCACUAAAGCAAUUAGGAGUACAGGAUAGUGCUUCUUGACAUUUGUAGAAAGUUGUGAGUGGUCAGUUAUCAUAUGUUUUAACCCAAAUAAGCCACUUUAAAGGAGCAUGCAUUGCAAUCCUUGUAAUAAUAAAUCAGUAUUUUCACCUCUCUUUUAUUUAACCUAAAUACAACUUAAGAUUGACCAGGUAAUGAAGCGUGGAAAUCUAAGUUGCUCAACAUUAGUAUCGUAGAAAUAUUAGCAAGUAUGAGACAUGUCAACUAGAAUCCAAGAAUUCCAAUAUAACAACUCAAAGGCAUAACCCUUGGCUCCAUCUUUAAUCAUCAUGGUCAAUCUUCCGCAUUCUUUCUAAAAAAAUAAGGGUGGAUCAGAAGAAAUAUUGACAUGAUCAUACAGUUUUACAUGGUUAAAAUUAAAAGUGUUGCAAGGGAUACUACAAUUUGGUAACACUAGCAAAUUUCACAAAGGACUGCUUCAACAAUAAGUGUCCUAGACAAAGAAAAUAGAAAGGAUUCCCCUCAAAAGGCAGGAUAAGGAUCCUCUAAGCUCACAUUGUAACUAUCAAUCCCCAGCAUACACUUUCCAUCAUUAAUCCAGAGAGGCUUGCAACUUGCAAGCUUUAGCAGUUUCAGGUCAAGAACAUUGUCUUUAUCAUAACUCUUCUUUGGAGAUUAUAUUAUUAUGUUAUUCUUUGAAAUGGAGAAUACUAAUACGGACAUCAGAAUAAUGUUUUACGUAUUUCAGGAAUAUCACAUGAUAUCAAGACCUCAAAAAGCCUACACCCUUCUGACCAUAAGCAUUCUAAGGAAGAUAUUCUUGUAGUUCUACAUAGAGCUUUCUUUCUUAUUCAUUUUUUCCAUAAAUUAG